ensembl:lncRNA TEX14BP testis expressed 14B, pseudogene
AUACAGCCGGCCGGAUCAUGUGGCAGUCAGGUGGCGACCACUAUCUAGCCCAACGUUGCUGGAGUUGUUGCAGCUCUGCCGGGCCCACAUAUCAGCGUUCGUGCAUGACGGUGAGUUGCCACCCAUGGCAUCUCUGGACCAGUUGCAGGCCAGAUUUGGGAACAGCCCGCCUGGCUCCCUGUCCUCCCUGAGGCUGAUGCAGGCAGACAGCCUCCUGUGGAUGGGUCACAAAAUGACUGUGCAGCAGCCGAAGGCCCCUGGAACCCAGACAGAUGUGCUACUGGCUGACCUUCAGCACUGCAGGUCCCUGUCCAGCAGCCGUCGGCUCACCAGGGCCCUUGGGCUCCACAGGCAGCAGAAGGGCUACCCCUGGGGAGGCCCAGGCCCAGGGCUUCCCCCGCCCCCUGAACUACACCCAUGGCUGCCACUUCAGCUGAUCUGCGGUGACAUGCCCACCACCACCUCAGACCUCUACAGCUUCUGCAUCCUGAUCCAGGAGGUCUUCACUGAGAAACUGUACAUCAAGUGGCUCACAGAGCCAAGACCACACCCAGGCCUGUGGCCCCUGUGAUGUCCCCAGGCCCCAUCCCAUGCCAGGCCUGAGACUCCUGAGGUCAGAGACCACAGCAGGAUCCCAAGGGGUGCAGCCUGGAACUUGGGCAGCAGCUUGACUCUAGGCAGCAGCUCUGGGCCCAGCCCAGGACCCAGCCCUGGGUCUGGCCACAGCCCCACAGCCAGGGUCAGCCUGCACUGCUGCCUGGAGCCCAGCUCAACAGUACAGAUACCCCCAGAGCCCUGCACAACUGUCCCACUGCUAACCUGUGACCCCCUCCGCCCGCCCUCCAGGAGUCACCAACCCGAAGUUCCCUGGCUGCCUCUCCUUUGACCAGGGAACUUUAGGGUCGCCCAACUGUCCCCUCACUCACCUAUGACCCUUAACCAACCCUGCUUCCCCCAGGGCCCUUCCCUGCACUCCAACUCCAGCCUCUAGGACUCAGCCUCCCUGCUGGGGACCCAGAGCUCUGCGGAACAGUUUGAGGAAGCUCUCAGCCAAGAUUCCAGCCCUGCAGGGGCUGCUGCGGCGCACACACAGGGUUAUUCUGCUGGAGCCCCAGCCCUGUGAGCCCAUCCCCAGCCUGCUGACCCACAGGGAGGCUUCCCACACACUGGGAGGCUGCUGGCAGGGAAGGCCACGAGGGCAGGCUAAGCAGAGGACCCCGAGCUCAGCCUGUGCCCCAUCUGCCCUCCCAGGCCCGCUGGAGCACCAUGGCUACCAGGUGGCAGCUCCAGCCUUCUCUCCUGCAGGCACCCGGUACUGAGCUGACUAGAGGAGGUCUCUUCUCCAGCCUGCAGAAGUGAGACCCGAGGCCUUGGAUGGGAGGACCCCAGGUAACCCUAGGUCUUUAUCCCUGAGGUAACCCUAGGUCUACCUGUGCCUCACUGCUCCCCAGGAUGGACCUGCUGGAGGAGAUCAUAGCAGAGCUACAAAAAGGAUGUCAGCUUGGAGAAAAGCCCAGCCUGAGCCCCACUCCUGACCUAGACUCCCAGGGUGCCCAUGGUUCCCCUCUCUGCAGAUACCACCUCUCAGAGGCUCCCAGGAGUAACUCCUGCCUUGGUGCCUCCCCAAAAGGAAAUAGAAUGAUAAAGUGCCCCC